rnacentral:ncRNA from 1 species
GGCAGAGUAGAUAAUUGUGGGUCAUGUGUCCGAGAAACGGGGAGUUGAUCUCGGAACGGAAACUUCACGGAGCAAGCCGGCCGGGAAGUUGCCGUACAGUUAUCGCAUCCCGCUGCU